GAAUUUUCAACCAGAAGCAGCUGAAAGUUUUUCCAAUUUAAUCUGCAAAUGCAGUUGGGGGAUUUUUCACAUGAAUCAACUUGUUUGGCUUGACAAACCUUCUCUGUGCUCAGUCUGGGUCUCACAAAGGUGCUCUGUGUGUAAAUUUGCAGGAGGGUGGAAGGAGGUGCAUGGAAGUUCAAGAUCCAGAGCCCCAAGGGUCCAGCCCCUCUAUUCUCUCCUGGCUUCUGCUGGGAUGUUAUCCUAGAAGGCUCAGGCCAUCCUCAGCCACCUCCACCUCUCGGACACCAGUUCUCGGGUGGGAAUCUGAGCCUCCACCUGCCGCUGGGCUGUCAUCAAGCCAGAAGUGACACUGAGACGAUCUAGCUGUCAUCGGCACGUUAGGAGCCCAUGAAGGUGAAUCGGGGGACUGCAGACAUAGCUCACGUUGAACUGCGCAUCCCAGAGCCAACCACAACAAAACUCCAAAGAGGAAAGGUCAGACCCAUGAAGUGCUAUUUGUUUUCACUGAAACUCCAUCCCACCCACUUAACACCCGUCUAACCAGGAACGGAAUCAAUUACCACGUGUCAGGCCGAAAUCUGACACAAGAAAUGAAAGAAGGACACAAUCUCCCCAGGGGGGUGGCAGGCGGGCAGAAAGGGUGGGGGAGAUAGAAAACCCAGGGAAGGGAGCCAUGAAUGAGCCACUUUCUCCUGUAAUUAAGGGUUAAAGGCAGCCAGAGACCUGAUUCCCUUCUCUCUCUCUCUUCUGGCCUUAGAGCCCAGAUUGGUAUUACUGUUGGACUACUGGGUGUUUCUGUCAUAAAAGAUGGUCAGCAAGACUGUGAGGUUAUUCGACUUUGGUUACAUAAGUUGCUCCAUUUAAUAAUUAAAGACCAAAAGGUUCUAGACGUUUACUAUUUUGUAGAGCUCCAGGAGCGAGAAUUCCUGGCAGAUCAUGUUCGGCUGCCAUGCCUAUUUGAGCUGAUUGAGUUGCUGCGUUUCUCAGGCUUCUGUUAAAUGUGGUGUCAGCUCAUCCGAGAGUGCCCACUUACGAUGAUGUCAUUCACUUGCUACAUUUAUGCAAGUCUUGAAAAGAGAGCUCACGGGCUGCUCAGGCAGAAUCCACAAAAGUUCAGAGGAUGGAUCUCGGCAGAAGUUAGCCUGGAGUGGUGCGGACAAGUAGUCUUCACAGAAAUCAAAAUAUAAUGAUGUACAACCGAAAUGUGUAUAAUAUUAUAAACCAAUGUGACCUCAAUAAAAAAAGAAAAACAAAACCCAAUCUAAAAAGCAGUUGUUUAACUUGAAAGUUAGCACCCUGUAAGUUGAAAAGCAUUUCAAAUAAAUGAAGAUGUUCUUCAGGAAGAAACAUUCAUCUGGUGCUACUUCACCAGCUCUAUCAAAUAAGACAUUUUCAGUUUUUAGUUUUUGUUAAUAAAGGACACCUAUACUCUUAAACUUUUAUUAAUGGGGUCCAAGGAUGAAGAACCCUCUUGUCCUCAGCUAGAGCAUUAGAGGGCAUUUUCUGAUCUGUCCUAUAAAUGGCCUUACCCCGCAUUGCCCUACUGUAUUGGAAUGUUCCAGGUAUGAAGCAUUGAUUAAACUGGAACAUGGAUACAGAAAGCAGGGAGCAUGCUCCAGAUAUCCUGGUGGUAAUUAAAGGACAUUUCCAUUUAUUGGCAGGAAUUAAUGAAAGGUAAAAGUUUUGACAAUUAACAUUGUCAGUGGCAUCGUAAGCAGCGUGCUAAUGAAUGAAUCCAUGAAUUGUUCUUUGCCGAAGUUAUUAGCUUUAUUUUGUCAUCUGAUAUUGAUACCUCCCUAGGAUGCUACUCUCAGAUUAUUUCUAUUCUUCUCAUGUAAAUGGUGCUCAGCCGUUGGUUCUUUUGUCUGCAGAGAGAGAGAGAGACGUGUGCGCAUUCUCUGCUCUCUCAAAGUGACGCUGCCUACAGUGUGGUUUUGUUCACUGCCUACAUGGUAAUGCCCCUUCUGUCUUGAUUCUUAUACCGAUCUUCAUUUCCUGGGCUCAGCCCUGCACCUCCAUCUCCGGGGAGAAAUUGUGCCCACUGACUCCCAGACACCUUAAAGUCAGCAGGUCACAGUGGCAUCAAUCACCUUGCCCAGAUUUGUCUCCUCCUCCACUUGUAUUCUCCAUUUCAAAGGUGGGAGCAAUAGGCAGCACACUCUUUGACAUUGGU